AACAUGAUGAUGGAAAAAGGGUUCCGAGUCUCAGCAACACAGCUCCUGCCCCCUCCAAAUUGAGGACUGACAAAGAAAUUCAAGAGGAGAAAACGGCUCAAGAGCAGCACAGAACUCCGUCUGUCACGUGGCUUUACGCAGCUGGGCAGCACCACAGAAGUGUGUUUGACAGAGAGAACUGUUUUGAAUCAACCCUCUGAGAUGUCGAAAUCAGCCUGUCAGACUUUGCUCACUCUAUCACAUUUCCCAAGAAGAGGAUCAGAGAUAAAGAGAAAUAUGGAAAUUUGGAGUAAAAGGUGAGGAUAGAGAACAAGAAAAAAAAAGUGCCUUCAGAGACUGCAAAAAGGAAUUCAAUAAAAUAUAGGACAAUCUGGUUACUAACUUGAAG
rnacentral:lncRNA from 13 species